GAUGAACGCUGGCGGCGUGCCUAAUACAUGCAAGUCGAACGGACAGGCCAGGAUCUUGCUGCGCUUACGUGAGCGGCGGGCGGGGGAGUAACGCGUGAAUAACCUACCUAUAAUACUGAGAUAACGUCGAGAAACCGGAGCUAAUACCGGAUAAUAUAUUGAACCGCAGGGUGGAAUAGUGAAAGACGGUUGUGCUGUCAGUUAUAGAGGGUUCUGGGCCGCAUUAGCUGGUUGUUCAGGUAACGGCUUACCAAGGCAACGAUGCGUAGCCGACGCGAGGGGGUGAUAGGCCACAUUGGAACUGAGACACGGUCCAGGCUCCUACGGGAGGGAGCAGUAGCGAAGCUUACGCAAUGGGAGAAAGCCUGACGCAGCAGCGGCGAGUGAGUGAUGAAGGUCUCCGGAUCGUAAAACUCUGUUACUAGGGAAGAACAACUGUGUACGUAACUAUGAAGGUCUUGACGGUACCUAAUCAGAAAGCACCGGCUAACUACGUG
rnacentral:rRNA from 1 species